GGAGUAUGAAUUAAUUUACAGCAUGAUUUUUCAAAAAUCCACAUUAAAAAUCAAAAUAGCCGACUUUCUGUUGGUCGUAGCUAAUGACUGUAAAUUAGAAAGUUGUCCGGCUUGAUAAGAUCCAUAUACGUACCGAGUUUGGUGUCUGUAGCUGAAACUAACCCCUCCACUUUUGACAAAAGGUGGCGCUAUAGAGUGCCUCCUCCACGCCCUUUUAUAAGAUUUUGCCAGUGUCUAGCUAUCAUUAAUACUGAUAUGUGUUUUGAGUUUCAUGAAAUUCUAAGCAUGUUACCUGCCUAAAAAUCACCUGAAAAGUAUUCCAGUUUGACAUGUUGCCACGGCAACAAUAUUUUUAUAUAUCAAUAUCCCCCCAG
ensembl:lncRNA